rnacentral:tRNA from 1 species
UUUUGAAUUAAGUAUUAAUGUACAUGUUACUUACAAUGACAAGGUCUAAGUUUAGAAUUCAAAA